rnacentral:rRNA from 1 species
UACGUAGGAGGCAAGCGUUGUCCGGAGUUACUGGGCGUAAAGCGCACGCAGGCGGUCUGGUCAGUCUAGAGGGACAGGGUCCGGCUCAACCGGGUCAGGCUUCUGGAAACUGCCAGACUUGAGGGCUUCAGAGGGAUGGGGAAUUCCGGGUGGAGUGGUGAAAUGCGUAGAGAUCCGGAAGAACACCAAAGGCGAAGGCACCAUCCUGGGAAGUCACUGACGCUCGGGUGCGAAAGCCAGGGGAG